GCUUGUCUCAAAGAUUAAGCCAUGCAUGUCUAAGUAUAAGCAUUUAUACAGUGAAACUGCGAAUGGCUCAUUACAUCAGUUAUAGUUUAUUUGAUAGUCCCCACUACUUGGAUAACCGUAGUAAUUCUAGAGCUAAUACAUGCGUCAAGUCCCUACCGCGCGAGCGGGAAGGAUGUGUUUAUUAGAUACAACCAACCCUUCGGGUCCCUGGUGAAUCAUAAUAACCGAACGAACCGCAUGCUUCGGCGGCGGUGGUUCAUUCAAGUUUCUGCCCUAUCAGCUUUGGAUGGUAGGAUAUGGGCCUACCAUGGCAUUAACGGGUAACGGGGAAUUAGGGUUUGAUUCCGGAGAGGGAGCCUUAGAAACGGCUACCACAUCCAAGGAAGGCAGCAGG
rnacentral:rRNA from 1 species